rnacentral:misc_RNA from 1 species
AUCCAAUCCCAGCAAUGGCUUCCCGAACCCUCGAGCUAACCCUAAUCUCCGCCCAAGAUCUCAAGGACGUCAACCUCUUCUCCAAGAUGGAGGUCUACGCCGUCGCCUCCUUCGCCGGCGAUCACCGCUCCCUCCAGCGCACCCCCGCCGACCACCACGGCGGCAAGAACCCCGCCUGGAACACCACCCUCCGCUUUGCCCUCCCCGCCACCGGCGAUCUCAGCCGCCACACCCUCCACAUCAUCCUCCGCAGCGAGAGGGCGCUCGGCGAUCGCGACGUCGGCGAGGUGCACAUCCCCCUCAAGGAGCUUCUUGACGGCCCCGCCGCUGGCAAGGGCCCGUCGACCUUCGUCAGCUACCAGGUACGCAAGCCCUCGUCCGGCAAGACCAUGGGCGUACUCAAUAUUUCCUACAAGUUCGUUGAUACCGCUCCCGCCGCCGCCGGAAGCGGCGCAGCCUACCCGCCUCCGGCGGCCUACCCCGCGCCGGCGAAGCCGGCCAAGUACGACGAGCCGGCGAAAGCGUACCCACCGGAGCCGGCGAAAGCGUACCCACCGGAGCCGGCGAAAGCGUACCCACCG